GUGGCGAACGGGUGAGUACACGUGAGGAACCUGCCCUUGACUCUGGGAUAACAGUGGGAAACUUCUGCUAAUACCGGAUAUUCAGAUUCUGCCGCAUGGUGGGGUUUGGAAAGCUUUUGUGGUCAAAGAUGGUCUCGCGGCCUAUCAGCUUGUUGGUGAGGUAAUGGCUUACCAAGGCGUCGACGGGUAGCCGGCCUGAGAGGGCGACCGGCCACAUUGGGACUGAGAUACGGNCCAGACUCCUACGGGAGGCAGCAGUGGGGAAUAUUGCACAAUGGGCGGAAGCCCGAUGCAGCAACGCCGCGUGCGGGAUGACGGCCUUCGGGUUGUAAACCGCUUUCAGUAGGGACGAAGCGCAAGUGACGGUACCUACAGAAGAAGCACCGGCUAACUACGUGCCAGCAGCCGCGGUGAUACGUAGGGUGCGAGCGUUGUCCGGAAUUAUUGGGCGUAAAGAGCUUGUAGGCGGUUGGUUGCGUCGUAAGUGAAAACUCAGGGCUUAACCCUGGGCUUGCUUGCGAUACGGGCUGACUUGAGGAAGGUAGGGGAGAAUGGAAUUCCCGGUGGAGCGG
rnacentral:rRNA from 1 species